rnacentral:rRNA from 1 species
CCUACGGGUGGCAGCAGUCGAGAAUCAUUCACAAUGGGGGAAACCCUGAUGGUGCGACGCCGCGUGGGGGAAUGAAGGUCUUCGGAUUGUAAACCCCUGUCAUGUGGGAGCAAAUUAAAAAGAUAGUACCACAAGAGGAAGAGACGGCUAACUCUGUGCCAGCAGCCGCGGUAAUACAGAGGUCUCAAGCGUUGUUCGGAAUCACUGGGCGUAAGGCGUUCGUAGGCUGUUUCGUAAGUCGUGUGUGAAAGGCGCGGGCUCAACCCGCGGACGGCACAUGAUACUGCGAGACUAGAGUAAUGGAGGGGGAACCGGAAUUCUCGGUGUAGCAGUGAAAUGCGUAGAUAUCGAGAGGAACACUCGUGGCGAAGGCGGGUUCCUGGACAUUAACUGACGCUGAGGCACGAAGGCCAGGGGAGCGAAAGGGAUUAGAUUCCCGUGUAGUC